UACAGAGGUGCCAAGCGUUGUUCGGAUUUAUUGGGCGUAAAGGGCGCGUAGGCGGCGUGUUAAGUCACUUGUGAAAUCUCUAAGCUUAACUUAGAACGGUCAAGUGAUACUGAUGUGCUAGAGUGCAGAAGGGGCAACCGGAAUUCUUGGUGUAGCGGUGAAAUGCGUAGAUAUCAAGAGGAACACCUGAGGUGAAGACGGGUUGCUGGGCUGACACUGACGCUGAGGCGCGAAAGCUAGGGUAGCAAACGGG
rnacentral:rRNA from 1 species